rnacentral:rRNA from 1 species
AGCGGAGGAAAAGAAACUAACAAGGAUUCCCCUAGUAACUGCGAGUGAAGCGGGAAGAGCUCAAAUUUAAAAUCUGGCAGUCUUUGGCUGUCCGAGUUGUAGUCUGGAGAAGUGCUUUCCGCGCUGGACCGUGUAUAAGUCUCUUGGAACAGAGCGUCAUAGAGGGUGAGAAUCCCGUCUUUGACACGGACUACCAGUGCUUUGUGAUGCGCUCUCAAAGAGUCGAGUUGUUUGGGAAUGCAGCUCAAAAUGGGUGGUGAAUUCCAUCUAAAGCUAAAUAUUGGCGAGAGACCGAUAGCGAACAAGUACCGUGAGGGAAAGAUGAAAAGCACUUUGGAAAGAGAGUUAAACAGUACGUGAAAUUGCUGAAAGGGAAACGCUUGAAGUCAGUCGCGUUGGCCAGAACUCAGCCUUGCUUUCGCUUGGUGCAUUUUCUGGUCGACGGGUCAGCAUCAGUUUUGAUCGUCGGAAAAAGGCCAGAGGAAUGUGGCACCUUCGGGUGUGUUAUAGCCUCUGGUCGCAUACGAUGAUCGGGACUGAGGAACUCAGCACGCCUUUAUGGCCGGGGUUCGCCCACGUUCGUGCUUAGGAUGCUGGCAUAAUGGCUUUAAACGACCCGUCUUGAAACACGGACCAAGGAGUCUAACACACCUGCGAGUGUUUGGGUGGAAAACCCGAGCGCGUAAUGAAAGUGAAAGUUGAGAUCCCUGUCGUGGGGAGCAUCGACGCCCGGACCUGACGUUCUCUGACGGCUCCGCGGUAGAGCAUGUGUGCUGGGACCCGAAAGAUGGUGAACUAUGCCUGAAUAGGGUGAAGCCAGAGGAAAC